UUUUAUCACCUUGAUAGUCGACAGUUUGCUGAUACUCGCCCCAGGAAGCAUCAGUGUUGCUGAUAGUGUUACCGAUCAGUGGUUAAAUUCUGAAGAGAAAU